UAAUACAUAACUUUAAUCCGGUUAAAAAGUUUUUUCUUUAAAUAACAACCUUAGCAAGCAAAAGUCGUACAAUAUAAUUGCAUACAUGCUUUGAAAGUGCUUUUAUAAUCAACGCUUAGAAUAAUUAUUUAAUUAUGAACUCGUUUAAAAUUUUUAUUUACAUAUCGAUCUCAUAUACUAUGUUGUUUUGACAGACGGAGGCUGAAUCCACUCCAGCGACACCAGCCCCCGCAGCCGCUCCAGCAGCAGCGACAUAAGAAGAUAUUUAAAACGAACUCGGCGAAACUCCGGCGCAUCGCUUCCGCGCCAUCCUAAUUUAUAUAAAAAUUUUGUAUUAUAACGGUGAAAAUAAAAUUUAUCAUUCUUAA